ACUCCUAGGGGGUCAAUAGGUUUACUAAGUGAUGAGCUACGUAKUGCGUGAGUUGUUUUGGUGGGGGCAACCGCGGAGUAGAGAUAUCCUCCGCUGAGGCGACAGUCAAGGUUGAAGUCCUUACUGUGCAGGCACCGUUUUUUCGUGAUCCGCCGAGUGGGCGAGCAAAAGAACAAGUUACCGCAGGGAUAACAGCGUAAUUUCCUCGGAGAGUUCAUAUUGAUAAGGAAGUUUGCGACCUCGAUGUUUGGAUCGGGAUUUCCUAGGGGUGCAGCAGCUCCUGAGGGUUGGUCUGUUCGACCAUUAAAAUCCUACGUGAUCUGAGUUCAGACCGGCGGGAGCCAGGUCAGUUUUCUAUCUGCGACUUAUAAGAAAUGGGCCGUCUUUAGUACGAAAGGAUUAAGAAUGGCGGCACCUAUGUCUUAUGAUAAGUGCCUAAGAUUG
rnacentral:rRNA from 1 species